UCUGGGUUAAUACCGUCGGGGGGAGUGACGGUACCUGAAGAAUAAGCACCGGCUAACUACGUGCCAGCAGCCGCGGUAAUACGUAGGGGUGCGAGCGUUAAUCGGAAUUACUGGGCGUAAAGCGUGCGCAGGCGGUUGUGCAAGACAGGUGUGAAAUACCCCGGGCCUUAACCUGGGAACUGCACUUGUGACUGCACGGCUAGAGUACGGUAGAGGGGGAGUGGAAUUCCGCGUGUAGCAGUGAAAUGCGUAGAUAUGCGGAGGAACACCGAUGGCGAAGGCAAUCCCCCUGGACCUGUACUGACGCUCAUGCACGAAAGCGUGGGGAGCAAACAGGAUUAGAUACCCUGGUAG
rnacentral:rRNA from 1 species